AUCUUUGUUUCUGGAAUUGGCAAUCGGAAAGCAUACCUGCCUACCGAUGCAAGGGAAUCCGGUGUAAAACCGGAGCUGUACCUGCAGCUGUAAUCCUCUCAGAUAAAUGUCUGUAACUACAAAGCCACUGUAACUGAAACCUUAUGGGAAGGCUGUGCGGACAGAGGAAAGCCAGAAUACCUACCAACUUCCAUAACCAAAG
rnacentral:ncRNA from 2 species